UGGCUAGAUUUAUGAUGAGAAAGGACCUUGUCUGAACAUAAUGAUUGCAAAUUGUGAGCUUGAAAAUGUCACUGAAAUCAGUCAAUGUGCCUCACUAGACUUUUCAGAGAACAUUCUCAGCAGAAUAUGGUGUCAAAUGUUAAAACUUCGCAUACUCUCCAUGGCAGGUGUAGACACUAGUGCACAUGCCAGUUCCUCAAACAUCCUUUCAAAAAAUUUCUCAGAGACAUUUUGAGCUAAUUUUUUUUUCUGUAUAUAUUUUAUGCUGUUGAGAGCAACAAAGGAAGCUCAUCCUUGGAUCCCAGAAGGCACAGAUCUGUGGUGGGACACAAGCCAGCAUACGUGGAAAGGAGGCCCCGACCAGCUCUUGCAUCGAACAUCAAAUGCCAGAGUUGUAGGUGUCUGACGUCCAGGUAGGAGCGGAUCUCGUAGGGUGGGAAGGCAAGGAGUGUGACAACGCCUUCCCAUGGACUCCGAUGCUGUGUUUGAGGACCAUUUAUUUUGUAUUUUUGCUUCUUUUCAGUUGUCUGUACCCUAGAACAGCGAUUUUCAACUGGUGUGCCUGAAGAGUCUUUAAAACACACAGUACCUGAAUGUUUAGUCAGGGGCAUUGACCGCUUUUCCCCUUAGAUUGUCCAAUUAAAAAACUGAAAACAGCCAAUGCAACAAUUAGCUGUCUCGUGUGAAUGGAUCAAAAUUACACCUUUUUUUGUCAGAUUGGCCAAAGAUACAUUUUUUGGUGUGCAUUAUAAUUUCAAUAGUUUGUAUGUCCUGGGAUUGAAACAGUUGAGGAUCGCUGUGCUACGUCAGUGUGUAGGGCAAUGACAUAGCACAUGUUUAAGACAUGGCAGUAUUACUUUGAUUCAUAGCAUUUAUGUUUUGAUUGAAUGUAUUGAAAUAUUACAGUGUUACAGUAUAACUCUUAAAAUACUUUACAGUCACUUCCUUAAAGUGUAAUACUUGUAAUUAUAAUCUAGGCCUAUCUUAUUUUUCAACUCCAUACUCCUAACCCAGAAAGGAGUCAGCCAUAAAUAUUCCUGGACAGUGCAUUUGUAGGGGACCCAUCUUAGCCAUUAUAUAUAGGUCAAAAAGUAGAAAUCAGAAAGUAGUGUGUUGAGGUCACAGGGGGCGAGAGGGCUUCAGUGAAAAGACCAGGAGAGGAACAGUAUUUGAAAUAUAGCCCAAAGGAUGUCAGCUCUGGACGUGGGUGUUGAUGAAUGGUUUCAGGAAGUGCAUCUGCCAAAAGUGCGCAGGCAGGCUCUGGAGGGGACAUCUGUGGCUUCGUUUCCUUUCUCAAAUAGCACAUGAAGAAACCCAAAGUGACUUUUUUCCUUUACUCAGAGGAGAUGUGCUGGGGGCCCCAGUGUCCUGGGGACAGGGCCACAAGUGGCUUUCUGGCUCCUCGCAUGGCAGCAGCAUCUUUGCAAUUCUGGAAUCCAUAUGGCUAACACAACAUGCCCUCACCUGUGAUUGAGGAAUGGUUAGCAGGGAAAGGCUUGGCUGGGUGAAUUCUUUCCUUUGGUAGGCAGGAUUAAUCUUAAAAAUGUAGGUGUGGUGGCCAAGCUGCAAGACGGUCUCCGAUAGCUCAACUGCUCAACUGGAUGCUUGAGAUUGCAGAUCACUUUGUGUUAGAUUUCUUGUGGAAGAGAAGAACAAAAUGACCUAGAUGGGGUAGAGUUCAUUAGGUACUGGCACAGCGCUGUGUAGAGGUUCUUUUACAUGAUCACUUGACCUGUGGUGGUAAAAAGGUUGGACUCCCAGUAUGAGUCUGUUGGGAAACAUAUGUCAGGAAAAGUAGUGUGUGUCCUGUUGUUUCCAUGAUAAAAUUGGACUAUAUUACCAUAGUGUUUUCGUUUCUUGGUUCAGAGAUGUUAGACGUUAGCUUAAAACACCUUCACGGUCCUCCAAAAUGCAGUAUUCAUAGACAGGUCAUUGGACUUGACUUCACCUGUUUCAUCUACCUUGAUUUUAUUUGACCAUUCUCAUUGAUUCUUCUUGUUGAUUUUUCCCAUGCUGGGAUAUUUUGAUUGCUGUUUUCAGUGUCGUUUAGGUUCUUAAAUUGGAUUAGAAAAUAGAAAGUUGUCGAUACUGUUACUUCUUGGUGUUCCAUCCGUCUGUUAUCAUGUGCAUAUUCCAGUUUUCAAUUGGUUAGACCAUUCGCUUGGGGAAGUGGAUUGUAAGGUAUUACAUUUUGUUUUAAGACUCCAAAGAACUCAGUGGUGUUCUGUCAGAUUGCUGGGUAUUUCACUGUGUUUGAGUUUCCCCCAGAUUGUCACCUUAAUUCUGUGUCAGUUGAAUGAUAUUGCUGCCAAAGAUGGUCGAUCCUCCUUCUCCUAAGCCGGGGGCCUUUGCAUUAGUAGAGCUGCGCAGUCUGCUGGUAGAAGUGUUUUGACCAGGGUGUGCUCCUGUUGGGAAGACCUUGGCUCGACUUAUGAUGAGCUGUGUUGUCUGAGCAUGACCACGUGAAGCUCAUUCUGAGUACUCUGAAGUCCUGCCCAAGUGUCCGUCAAAGGACGUGGGACACACCUGUUCUAACACGCGCUCGCAGGUUGUGAUUUUCAAAGGCUUCCCCCAUCAGUGUUGUGCUCGGAGAAUGGAGUUGCAGGUUUUCCCAGUGAAGUCAAGGAAGGUGGGUUUUGAUCCACUGCUCUGGUUUCUUUUUGUAUAUAGUAUGUUCAGUGCUUGUGACAUUGGUGCAGCCCACCUUUGUCUUUUCAUUGUGCGUUUCAAGUGAUAACUUCAAGAGAAUACGGACUUAGGAGAUACUGUGGUUUUUUUCUUUCAUACAUCAUGACUCAGUUUCAACCUUGUACCAGAAUUGACUGAGACCAUGUCCCCAACCCAGGAGGGGCUCCAAUUACCACAUGAGUGAGAAAUUGCCAGUUAUUUGUCAAGGCAUUGCUUUGUUGAGUAUAAUAUUAAGAUGACACUUUGAAAAUAUAAGUACUCUUUAAUUAUUUUUUAGUGAGUUGCCACCACUCUCUUGGCAAGACACAGAUGAAGAAAUAGAAUUUUGGGCUCUGAUUGAAGGGGAUGCAAUUCGCAUUUGGCAGUUGGUGGAUCUGAGCCCUAGAGUGAGGAAGGGUUUUGCCUUUUUGGAAUUGGGUCUCUAUUCUCACAUCAUUCUUCACACUCUGUCUUUAUUUGCUGGGGUAAUGGAUCUUGUAUUAUCUGAGAUUGACAUUCUUUGAGUAGAUGUUUAUGCUUUGCUUAUUGUAGCCAUUGUGAGGGGGUUGAAUAAUAAUUAAACAGGUGUUUAGAAAACCUGUAUAAAAAUGUUACCAUGGACAGUUGAAUGUACUAAGACCUUAUCCUUAAAUAGUCACCUUAAUUUGUUAGUGCGUGUGAGUGUGUGUGAGUGUGUGUGUGUAACUAAGUGUAAAUAUGGUGUGGGUGUUUAUGCUGUGAUGAGUGAACAGCUUCUCGUGAAAAGCUGUUGGGGUUCCAAUGAAUUACAUUCUUUUUAAAGUAAGUUAGUGUUCCUACAGUUCUUUACCUUAUUUAGUCCCUGUUUCCCUGCCAGAAAUGUCUGUAUACUUACUACCUCAGAGACUUGUUUGGUUUCCCUUGGUGUCGCUGAUUUGGAGCAGCAGGAGCAGGUGGAAGGAAUGAGAGCAGGAAGUCACCUUUUAUUGCCUGAAAAGGAGCUGAGUGAGAGGAAAGGACUGAACUAGGGGUGUGUUGAGGUGCAGUGUUGUCUUAGAGGCAUUCGACCUUGGCUGUUUGGUGCAAACUAGGGUGGUCACUUACUGCUGGGAGAAAGGACGCUGGUAGCUGCUGGGUGGGCCCCAUGCAGGUAAACCAUUCGUGGGGGCAGGCAGGUGACCUAAAGGAAGUCCCUUCACAUGUGAAUCCCUGGAAGAUGGUCAGCUUUUCAUUUCUUGGAGGAGGAGGAGGAGGUUCAUUCUUGAACCUGAGGAGGGCAGGUCCAACGCAGCUAGUGGUGAUGACAACGGAAGGGACUGCGUUGGCACUAGAUGUUGAAGGCAGUGAUGGGUGGAGGGAAGACAAGAAGGAAAAAAGAUGGCUUUAAAGGGAGUUUUUGACAUCGUUGUGUUGUCCAAGUGUGAGGGGGAGACAUGUCCAUUGAUAGCUUCCUUUGUGGGGGGUUGGGACUCAGAGACACCAUCCUCCCACCCACCCCUGUGUGGUUAAAUUCAGCAUGCCUGUCUGCACCAGCUUUGUCCUGUUAGGCUCUGUGUCCUUUCCUGAGAUCACUCCAUAGGCAUCCUGGGGUCUUCUGUGGGUGGAAGGCCGGCUCCUGCUGUGGUUAUCGGAGUGGUCCCGUGGUUUACUAGUGUGGGCAGCUGAGAGGAAGUCAAACUUUUCUCCAACUCCAGUGCACGUGAGAGUCACCUGGCGGGUUGUUCAGUUUUCAGUUUCUGGGUCAGUGGUCCUGGGUCUGAGAAAUUGGCAUGCUCUUGGUGGAGGCACAUAGAGAACAUCUGGGUUUUAUUCAUUUUCUGAAAGUGCUGUUGUACGAACGCUCAUUUAUAUGGUUGCAGGUAACUGAGUUCAUUACAGAACAUUUAAAAAUGAACAAGAACACGGAAUUUUGAAAGAAAAUUGGUUGUCUUACAAAGUGAGUGGAAAAUGCUUUUUUUUUUUCUUGUAAUACAAUGAACUGGGAACAAGUGACAGUAGCCACUGGAAUCAAAUGCAUGGUUGGACACACACUUCCAGAAUUUGGACAAUCCGAAUCCAUGUAUCUUAUCAGAACAAAUUGUCAAUAUUCAUUUAUAUUAUGUACCUCCAUUGAGGAAGUGAGGUCAUUUUUUAUAAUUCUUCUAAUAAUCAACUACUACCUAAAUUUUCACCUGGUUUAAUUUGGAUAAAAAUGACCAAACACCAAAAUUUCCAGAAAACCAGAUGUUUUAAAGCACUUUAAAAAAAUAGGUGUGAUCCUCACUAGUGUGCUGAUUUCCUAGACAUGGCAGUUUCUGCCUAUUGCUUAGGCUUUAGGGGUGUCACUGUAUCCAGCUGGUGUUCUGUGUUGGUCCCUGAACCAUGCAUAACUUUAAUUACUUUGCAUUUAGGCAUGUGUUUGUUUUAACCAUCCACUUCUGGAUCAUUUCACAUGGGCCAUAAACUGGCAACACCAACGAACUUUUCUGGGUGAUGCUCUUUACUGGGGAAAUUUCAAAAUGUAUGUUGUAGCUUGGCUGUAAAUACCCUGCUAACUAUAUUUUAUAUUGAAAUUGAGUACUGUUUUGUAAAUACGCUUCUCUGUGGGAAUAGUGUUAAGAGUGGACAGUCUGCUUUACUUAUGAACUUUGAAAGUCAGCCUCUUCAGACGGGGUUUCUCUGCAUCUGGAAGUGCUGAAGGAAUGUACAUACAGAUCAAGUCAGUUACCCUCCAUGGGACAGCACCUGAAUGAAGAAGGAGCCCAGACUAGAAAGAAAGAGACUUUUUUUUUUCUGUGGCUUGGACUGAAGAAGGGAGAAAUUGUGGAGUUUUAAAGAUUGUGACUUAUGAAGGAACUCUUGAAACAAGGAGACUUCCUUUCUAUGGGAUAGGCUGAAUAAAAUGAGAAAUCGUGGAGGAUUUUAAAACACUGAGACUAACGAAGGAACUCUAUAAUUUGAAAUAUGGAGACCUCUCUAUGGUUUGGACUGAAUAGAAGGAGAACUCAUGGGGGAUUUUUAAAAAUUGUGACUUACGAAGUGAUCCAAACCUGAGAUAAGGAGACUUCUUUUCUGUGGCUUGGACUGAAGACAAGGAGAAAUCACACAGGAUUGUUAAGAAACUGAUUUAUGAUUUCUGUGAGAAUAAUUGACUAUAACAAUACUGGUUUUCUUACUUUGAUAGGAUGGCAGGAAAUGUGUGUCAUAUUUUUCUAAUACUUUUGUGCAGCUCUGGUGAGCAUGAUGGAUGCCACAGCUUUGACCUUUAGAUGGACGAGGUGUUUUCUCUACUGAGUCAAUUACAGUCCCAAUUGAUGUCAGAGUAAUGAUAUAAAAAUCCAUCCCUCAAAUUACUCAAAUCACAGUGAAGAAACUUUCAUAAAGACCCUCAAUUACUGAAUAAUACCUUUGUCUAAGAUUGGAAAAAUGGAUACAAGAAGGCAUAGGCUGAUUUUCUGAUAUUCUUUGAUUGGGGGAAAAGACACUAAUGGUUCAUCAUUGGCCUCAAUGUCAUUAUUACUGUUCUUUUCCAAGGCCAAGUAUAUAUAAUAGUUGACAUCUAGUAUGGAUUUGAUGGAUAAUGAAUAAUUUUGCUAUAGUGGUAUAUUGUCAUGUUAUUGGUAGAAUCCACCUAUAAAUGAACAAAAGGUAUAAGGAAUGAGACUUACACAGUCCAGGCAAAAUUUGGCUUCCAGUUUAGAGCAUUAUUUUUCAUAUUCUUUAUAAAGGUUUGAGGCAAGAAACAGGGCAUUUCGUUGUGCUGCAGUGCUGGGCACAGAAUUGGGUGAUACCAUCUUAAAUUCAACUUCCCUAUUCCAUCAGUUAGAGUGAUAUUUCCACAACAGUGCCAAAUUUCAAUUUGUGGCUUUGUUGGAAAGUGGUGUCCCUUAAGGUUGUCUACUUUAUUAUCUGCAUCCAUCUGUUCAGUCUAGCUCACUGGAGAAUGAAGCUUGUUUAACAACACAAGCAUGUGUUCAUUUAAAGCAAUCAUGUAAAUCUGGGUAAAAGAGUACUUAGCCACAUAAAAAAUGUGAAAAUGCAUCUAUCAGUAUAUAGGUUGGUAAAAUCCUGCAUAGGUUAUUUUUCUUGCUUUUUGCAAUGUACAUAAGCAACUUCUACAACUCUUUGUAAAAGAAAAGACUUUGAACAAUUUUUUUAAAUGACAAAAUCAUGUCCACAUCACACGUGAAAUAUCUCAAUGUCUUCUAUAACAUCAUUUCAAAAUCACUGUAUGGUAUAUUUGGGUAUUAAUUUUAUAGGAAUGUAAAAAGGACAUGCCAGCUAGGAGGUAAGGAGGUGGUUGUGCUUGGUGGACACAGAUGGAGCCUAAGAAAGAUGGACGGGGGUUUCAUCCCCAAACCUCAAGUAUUGAUUGCAUGGACGAUGCUGUUUAGACUCCAUUGGGUGGAGCUACCUUCCUAGUUGAGAGUUUGGACAUCUUUAAACUGUAUUCCAAUUUCCAACCAGUCGCCUUACUUCUGUCUCCGGAUUCUCUAUUUCAUGUGCCAGAGAAGUCUUUGGGACAGAUGACAAACCACGUCAUGUUUCAACAGUGUUAGAAAUAAGCAAUAAUCUGAGAAGAGAACAAAGAUUAUUUAACCUGGUAAUAUUUAGAGCAUCUUUUGUCAUUGUCAAUGGGAGACGUUCCACUUGCAGUCUCUGAACAUUAGGAUUCUUAAGAUCUGUGAUUCUCCUUCACUGUUACCUUCUGGUCUGUAAGAAUCUCCUGAAGUGUGUACAGCAAGAAGAAACCAGUGUGACCGCAACCCAGGACGAUGCACAGAUUCUCUGAAAAGCUUUUUUCCGUGAACGUAGAGAAGCAGGAGAUCACAGCCCGAGGGACUGGAUCUGCAUUGGUAACCGAUUCUUUGUCAAGUUCUGAAGAUCCCCGAACUGUUUGGACAGCUGUGGGAUUCUCAACCUCAGGCUGGCUUACGGGGUCUUUGGCAAGAUCAAGAGCGAUUCUCUGCCUCUGAUCUGUGUCUGUGCCUGGCCCGACAGCAUCAGGACAGCCUCUCUCAUUGUGUGUUGCUCCCCAAAAGGCAAGUGUUUGAAGGGCGAUGAUUGAACUGAAAUUUAUUUCAAGCAGAUAAAACUUGUAGUGUUGGGCUUUUACAGACAGUAUCAAGUAGCCAUAAGCCAACCCUGCAGGAAUCUGGGGAAAAAAGGAAAAGGACGGCACAUUUGAGGUGAUCUAGAAGCUUUACCAGCUACAAAAACAAAGACAAAAUAAAUGUAGAUGUAUAAUGCUUUGAACUUAAUUCUGCCUUUCAAAUGUUUACAUUUCAUUGGACAUCUUUGGAUUUGGAUUAAAGAAUAUUUCUUUUUUUUUUUGAUCAUGGAGUAUCAACUCAGCUUCAUAAGGUUUACCGUGAAAAGCCAUGCAUUUGGGACUUUCCUAUGCAUGUGUGACAGUUUUUUUUUUUAACUCCUAAGCAUUUUUAACACAGCCCAAAAUCUAGCCCCACUAAUUACUUUAUUGGACACAUAAAGCUUGUGUGUGGGUGAUGGUAUUGAAAUGUAAAUAUAAAAUGGAAUAAUGAAUGUAUAUGAACUGUUCAUUGAUGUUAGGAGAUGAAAAGAAUGAAGUUCAACAUGUAAUGGUUUCAUUUCAUUGUAUUUUGUUUACUGAAAACGUUCUUGGAAUAUAAUACUCAAGCACAGAGGCCUACAUUUAUAGACAAAUCUGUUAUUUUGGAUAACCUUUUAAAUGGUGGUUGUGAUACUAGAGCUGGUUUCCUAGGAAGUUUCUAAUAACAUGUUUGAUAAAAUUGUCUUCCGGAAAAUAUUUUAGACAAGAAUUCUGAGGACGUUUGUAAAGAUAUACACAAUUAUAUAUUCAUUGUGUGCUCAGGGAUAACAUAAAAGGAACGGCGCGCUUAAAAUGUCAAUCAGGAAAAAAGUAAGGCACUAGUAUUGUGUUGCAUAUUGAGAAUACUGUGCAUGAAAAAAACCAAAUAUGAUUGUUUUCUGACUUUUCCUGAUAACAGUUGUUAACAGAGUUGGGUAAGAUAUAUAGAAGAAAUAUUUUAAUACGUGAUUAUAAAAGUAGAACUGUCAGAAUACCUCUGAAUGAUGUGCAUUUAAAAUCAUUUGAAUAGGUUAUUGCUGUGGGACGUUGGGGAAGGUGGAUUUUUCCGUAUACAGCUGUCACGUGGACAUGAUAUUCAGGCUGCUCUGCGGGGAUGUAGAUGUUACUGUGUAAAUGGUGUCUCUGUUAAAACAUGUGGUGUGAGGGAACGGUCGCUCUAUGCUUGAUAAAAAGUCCAGAGCUGUGAAGGCUUUGUGAUUACUUGUAAAGUGCUGUUACACCAUCUUAAUCAAGCAUGGAGGUGGCUGACAUUUGGGGCUUCACUCCAAGCUCAGAUGUUGGGAAUCCACAUAAGUUUUAUAAGUGUUCUAAUGUUAAAUGCCUAGAUUUCAACGUUAAUUUAUUUCUGCUACGUACUGCUAUACAUUUUGUUAAAAACAGUGUUACAAAUGUUAAAUAAUUUUGUUUCAAUAGCAAUUUUCUACAUGUAUAUACAUGAUUGUAAAUGUACUAUAAAUAUGUAUCAACUUACUAGGAUAGAAUCUUUUUUUUUUUUGCCAAAGAUGUUAGAUAUAGCCUCUCUUGUGUGUUCUCUGUAUCCUUAGGCUCUGUUUUCAAGUUGCAGUAAAGGCAAAUGUACAGGUCCCUGCUUCGUGACACGACUCACCCCUGGAAGUGUCGUGGCAGCUGCAGGUUGGCCUUCGUUUUUGGUUUUCCGAGUGUGUGCAGAUACAUCACAGUUCUUGGCACAGCUUAGAGACAUCUCUACAUGGGAUAAAACAGCCUUCGUUAGGAAAGGUUUCAUUUGCCAGCGCAACUUGACUUUUAGUAAUACUAGUCAAUUUUUCUUGUCUUUAAGUACUUUUUUAUAGUUGUAUAGGUGUUUUUUAUGUGUUUUACGGGGACAUUAGCAAUGGUAUAUUAUCAAACCCAAGUUCAUUAAAUGUGGGCUGACAAAAGAAUGUUUUUGUAUUAUAUGUAUAUAGUAGACACAGUAUUAUGUUUUUAAAGCAUAGGAGCUACUAUAUUUGCAUGUUUUAUAGGUAUAUUUAUUAUAUAUAAAGUGCAAACUUCCCUAAUGGUUGUCGUAUUAUCCCUGAAUAAAUAAUUAGGCAGCUGAUGGGGUAUUUUUUAGAUCAGUGUAUAUAAAAUGGUUAGAAUGUGUAAGUUUUUGCUUUAAACUUUUAGUCCUUCAAAUAUAAGGAUUGUUUACAUAUUCAUAUGUGUAUACAUUUAUACACAUAUACCUACAUGUACAUAUGUGUAUAUGAGUGUAUAGAACUGCUCAUUAAAAGUCAGGAUAGAGACUUACUGGAAGAUACUGUGAGGCUGCUAGCUAAUUACAUAGUGGACAAAUGUUUUGUUUUACAACAUCUGCAUAGGAUUUGUUGAUAGACAUAUUUUGUGAUUACCAAACUAAUCAGUUGAAAAACCUAUUUUGCAAAUUGAAUUGCUAUACUGUGUCUAUUUGGGAUAUAUUCGGUUAAAGGUGAUUGUAUUGUUUGUUUUGUACAUAGAGGCUGAAUGUUUUCUAAAAUAGUUUGGGACAUAGAAUUUCUAUCAAUUUAAGAAGUGUGUGUUCACUGAACUGUUGAAUGUAGUCACUGUUUGGUCUACAGAGUAUGCGUCUUCAUGAGUUAGGCUUCAUUUUGAGGAUUUGUGUUUUUGUGUGUUUUUUUUUCCCCUUAGACAUUUUUUGAAUGUAGAAAGUGUAGAAAUCAUUGCCAUUUAUAUUUUAAACUAUGUAAACAUGCAUACAUUUUCUUCCAAUCUAAUUUUUGAAUGUUAACUGUUUGGACCGAGCAGGGAAGUUUCUGACUGCUGUAUGUAUAGUGGACAAGCUUCUUAGAGCAUGGGGACUGCCUAGGUGUAUAAAAGUGCCCUCUCUCCACGCGUACUAGGCGCGCACACACGCACACGCACACACACAGAGAGUAAAUAUUUUGAUGUUGAAUAUUGUGAAGGGGUGACUGAUCUGAUCAGAUCUUUGUUUCUAUACCACAUAACCUUGUAGAUAUGCAGAACUUUGUCAUUGUAAAAUAUGUUUCAUCUAAACUUGGCUGUUUUUGCCUGGUGCUGUUUUUUGCCUGGUGACAUGGUACACCAAUCUGGUCUGCUGUGAUCUUUAGACUGCCCUGUAUUCAUCUUUAAAACACUUGUUCAUUGCUGGUACAGUAGAGUUUCUGUCUGCAUUUGAGUGGAUUAAUGGCUAUGGACAAGGGUAGUGGAUAUUUUCUGGUCUCUCACGUAUGAUUCUUUUUUCAUUACGUCUACUCUUCCGCACAUGCAUAUGCUAGUCAAGACAUGUUAAACUAUAAGGUUGAAAUAUGGUUGCAAAUUAUUUUAAAAACUCUAUCUAGGUGGCUCUUUGAUUUGUUAAAACAACUGCGUUUAUAAUAAUAAACACAGGACAAUUGGGCUUUGUAAAUAUGUAGGAUGUUGAUAAGACAGGAUGGUAGAGGGUAGAAAUUUUUCCGAGGAUAUCAUUCCCCUUCAUGUAACCUUCAUUGGAUUGGUGGGAUUGUUGAAGACAAAUUACUUAAAAACUGUUGUCAUGUUAGUGAGGAGAUAGAGUAAGCAUUGACACUAUUUUUAACUAAAUUUAUUAAGGUGACUGGUUAAUAACAUAAUGUGUUCCAAGUGUGCAUUUCUACGAUAUAUCAUCUGUAUAUUGCUCUGUGUGCCCAUCACCCAAAGGCAGAUCACCUUCUGUUACCAUGUGUUGGGUCCCCUUUACCCUUUACUAGCCUCAACCCCUUGCCUACAACAAGAAUGAACCUCGAGAAUAUCAUGUUAAGCAAAGCAAGUGAAGUCAGAAAAAGCUGAGAACUGUAUGAUUUCACUCAAUGUGGGAUACAAAGCAUUGAAAGCAUUUUUACCUCAUGUUUUUAUUUAGAAGAAAAAUUAGAUAGUAAUCAUUAAAUCGUUUUUAUAUAAAUUGUCCAUUUUAUAUAAAAAUACCUCUAUUUCAGGGACAUGUAUGGUAGUUAUAUCUUAUUUUCCCAGAUACACUGAGGUUCAUGGUGGAAUUUGAUUUCACAUUUACAGAUUCUCUAAAAUACACAGUUCUGUGUUCAUUUGUUACAUAGCAAUAACCAAGACAACUUUGUAAAUAACGGACAAGUGAAUUAUCUGGAUGUACUGAGAGUCUCACAAAGUAUAAUCCUGUAAAUAUCUUACUGUAAAUUUGUUACUACCAUUGUUUUUUAAAAAUACCGUGGCAAAGAAAUUAAUCAUUGAUAAAGAGGCUCUUGGAGCUUUGAAAAAUUUAUAUAUUAAUUUGGUUAAGAGGAGAAAUGGACAAGAUAAUGCAUUUGCCCCAUUCUCAAAGAAGAGUUUGACAUUUUGACAAGUAUGAAUUGUUACUUUAGAAUACCAUGAGGAUAUACUUAGUGUUUUGGAUAUACCAAGCUUCCUGAUAUGUUUCUCUUACUAAUAGUUUUAUUAAUACUUUUGAAAAGCAGUUUCAAAUUCACAGCAAUAUUGAGGGGAAGGCACAAAGACUUUCCUUCCCCACACACAUGCAUAACCCUCCUUGCUAUCAACCCGAAAUUCGGGAAUGAUGCCUACUGUUAACAUCCCCCACCAGAGGGGCACAUUUGUGACAGUUGAUAAACCUACAUCGAAACAUCAUAAUCACCCAAAGUCCAUCGUUUACAUUAAAGGUUCAGUCUUGGUGUUGUACAUUCCAUGAGGUUAUGACAUCCAUCCAUUAUUAUGGCAAACACAGUAUUUUCAUUGCCCUAAAAGUCCUUUGUACUCUGCCUAUUCAACCUUCUGUAUGUUUUUCUCUUUAUUUUAACAUUCAAGAUAUUAAUGACUUCAUCAAACGGAUUUUAUACUACCUCUUGGAACUAUACACAGUUCUGUAUGUGUUCCCUUGGCUGCAUGACAAUAUUCAAGACAACUUUGUAAAUAACAGGCAGAUACACGUUUUUUACUUCAUAACAUCUAGUCUUUCCACAUGUAUAGAGUCUCACCAGGUAUUCUUAUGUAAAUAAUUGUAAAACUCCAUGGUGGUUUGUUGGAAAUGGGUUGACCUCAAAGUGGCUAGGAUGGUGGGUUUUUAGAGCUUGUACAUAUCUGUGACCUGUUGGUGUUAGGGGAAGGAAAGGUAAAAGGGAGUGUACCUUCACUCCUGACUUCUCGCUGUACAGAAAAGUUUACAUUUAAGCCAUUGUUCAGUGCUUGUAUUACUACAUGUCAUAAUUGUGUAUUUGUAUUGCUAAUAGGGCAUUAUGUAUUUUAAUCAUAGGAAGUGUUUUUAUUGGAACUUCUGUUUUCCCUCUUUGAAUUAUACACUUUUGUACUUAAUUGGGCUGCAUGACCACAUUCAAGACAACUUUGUAAAUAACAGGCAUAUAAUUUCAAUUUAAACAUCUAGGUUUUCUAGAUGCUGGGAGUUUCGCAAAAUUUUGUAAAUAUUUAAUGGCAAAUGUAGUUGGCUUUUGUAAUAUUUCAGCAAUGUGACAGAUAAUGGUUAACAGUCUGCCUCCAAGGGCUGUGGCAACAUUCUGAUGUUUGUUGAGUGAGGUUUUGGGGAUAGGGGUUGACAUAUCAACUGCUUAUCUUCAUGUUAGGUCCUCAUUUAUAAGAGAAGAUUAGAUGGUACACCUGUAACAAAAUACACCUGGGUCGUACUUUUAUCUUCAGUAGGAAGAAAAAGAGUUGAGAAGGGAAUUGUCACUUGGUCAUGUUCUGAAGUACUCAGUGAUACAUUCAGAGAUAAAAGACAGCCACAUUGCUGAUGUUAUUUUGUUAUGCUAGAUAAAUGUCUGCAAAUUCACAUGCCCACAUAGCCAUAUAUAGUAAUGCAUAUACACACAUGUAAAAUUAGUUUUAGGAAUAUAAUUUUGAAAAUGUUUCUUUUUACAUUUAUUAGUUUACUGAUUUUCAUUUUAUUUUCCUGAAAAUUUAUGGAAAUGGUAUUCUUAGCUUAGUAUUCUUAUAGACUGCUUCAUGUUACAUUUAAAUGUAUGUUAAUUUUUAUAUAAGUAUAAGCAGCUUCAUAUCUUAAUUUUAGUCUGUUUUCAUAUAUACGCAUCUAUGGGAAUUUCUCUGGUUACGAAUAUUUUUUAAAUUCUCUGAGAGCUUUUUAAAGCUUUCUGGUGAAUUGAUAUAUUUGAAUGUUAUGUGACAAAAGCCAAAAAUGUUGACUCAGUUGUCUAUGAUGUAAAUUCAAAGUACAAAACUUGCUUAAGAAAGGUGGUCCUAUCCAGUAUUGAUCAGAGCAUAUACAUAAUAUCUUUUUGAACAUCUCUUGGUAAUGACAAUCAAAAUUGAAUGUGUAAAAUUUUAGAAAUGAUGUAAGGUACUGCUGUGAUUUUAUCUGUCUAAACUCUCAGAUUUACAAAGAAGAAAGUAAGUUACAGAUCAAGUGUAACAUUGACCACUGAAAUAGACACCACCAAAAGAAAGAUUGUAAUGAUGGUAGCUUAUAUGUCAUAAAUAUAGCUUAAACACUUGAUAAAACAUUCUCAAGUGGAAGUGUUUUACUUAAGUGUUGAGUAAAGUGUUGAUACUUAAAAUGGUCAUUUUUGAACAAAGACUGAGUAAUUGUGUUUCCAGAGGUAUGACCGUAUGCCUCUAGUUCUGCUCACUGGGGAAUGAGAUUGUCCUGUUAAGAUUGAAGAGUUAAGUAAUGAUUGUUCAUCAUCAUUGCGACUAUAAUGGUAAUUGUUUUGGCAUUCUUUCUGAAAUUUCUGUACAUGUACUAGCUACAUAGUGAGGCAUUUUUUAAUCCAUGUAUUUGUGUAUUGCUACACGACAAUCUACAAUGAGUGUAAUGAGUUAUGAAAGAGAAAGUUGUCCGGAGGAUCAUGGCAAAAUUUAAAUGCAUGCAGAGAUGGAAAAAGGAGGACUGCCUGUACUUUCUGCAUUUAAAAUUUAAAGGCAUUUCAAACGGAACAUUUAAUGAAUAAGGAAUUUUAACGAUAUAACCAACUUGUGCCUGUCUUCAAUCUUGCCUAUAAACAUCUUGGGAAUAUGGGGCCACUGUGUCCUGCUUUGUAUUCCCGUUGGCCAUUGUGAAUGGUGUUUGAGUGAUCAAGAAGAACACGUGACUGAGACAAGUGCAGCGGCGAGCUGUGCCGUGUAAUACAGAGAGUCGAUCACCCAAGGAGAGAGGAGGGAAAGGAUAGUGUUGGAGGUGAACAUGAUGAGAGAGAACUGUAUUUGCAGAUAAUAUGCACAGACCGAUAACAAUAGGAAUGAACAUCUGUCUUUCUGUGGAGUUCCUUUAUGCUUAAAUUUCAACUGAACCACAGGAGCUGAUAGUUCCAAGAACCUACACUUUUUGCUGUUUUGUCCUUGUUACAAAUCCCAAGAAUUGGCACCGCCGUUUUCUGCGGAGCAAUCGUCAACUGCAAUUUGCUUCGCACCUGGUUCUGCCCGUCAUUGACAGGACUGAGGGUGGCCGGCUGGCUGGCUGCUCCUCUGAUGCAGGGAGGUCCCUUCACGAGACAGUAGAGAUGACUGUCCAGGAGCCCAUGCCCUUGCUUCUGCCACCAUCUUCGAAACCAAAAGACAGUCUUCAUCUUGUGUUGGAGAUGCCACUUCUGUGCGUGGCCAUGGACACUUCCUACAGAUCAGACACACGGGACUGAGAAAGCCCGUGUGGGAAAGUGCCCCGAUGGGUGUCAUGGAGAGACUUGUAAGCAGGCAUGUUGGCUGUUUCCAUUGUUGCUGGUGGACAGAGUCCCAGGAGAUGGAGCAAGGGAGCCGUUUCUCCCAGGAGGCCUUGGGACAAGCCGUGGCGGGGCCCCGCCCGCGCUCCUGUGAGCACCGAGGGCGUGUGACUGACUCCACGCACCGUAGGGUGGAUUUGAAAUGUAGUCACUAGAAGUCAUCUUGUGAUUUUAGAGGACAUAGAUAGUUGUUAAGUAUAUAUUCAGUAGUUUCCUUUCAAGUGCCUUUGUUUUCUUUUUUUUUUUAGUACCCAGUAUAGAUUGCCUCUUUUUAAUUUUUCAAUUAUAUUAGACAUUCAUUACUAUUUUGUAUUAUUAGAUUUAGGUAUCCAGCACAGUAAUUAGUCAUAUACUUCAAAAUGUUCCACCCCAUAUUUCAGGCACCCACCUGGCACCAUACACAGUUCUCAAACUGUUACUGAUUCUGCUCCCUGCGCUGUGAUCAUCAGUGGAGUGUUGUGCACACCUUCUUGGGUUGUGUUGACGGAUAAAUUGGUAGUCAAGUAGUGUUUUGGUGCCCAGAUACUGGCUACAUGAUUUCUGUGCAGUAAAUGUGCAGUUGUAAACUCACUUUGAAUUUGUUCCAAGUAAUUUGUUGAAAUAAUUUUAAGUCAAUAGAAAAGCUGGGGGCUAAAGAAGUCCAAAAUUUAUAUUUUGAGGCAAACAGUAGCAGCCGCCUAAUUGUAGAGAGUCUUCAUCAAUCUCGGCGUGUAUGAGAGUUCAGACUGCACAGCACAGCAUGUUUGUGCUUUGACAGUGUGAUACCAUGGAGAAAUUAUUAUCAGUCAAUGUUCAGGACACUCAUCAUAGUCUUAAUUCUUAAUUGCCAUUUGUAUUAUUUCCUUUUUUUUUCCAGUUCCCGUGGAUUAUUGGUGUCUUUGUAACUGGUUUCUUAAGAGCUCAUUUAUGAUAAAAGUGUUAACCAUAUCUCAUACAUUGCAAAUGUAAUACCAUAUUUUUGUUAUUUCACUGUGCUGUUUUAGUUUUUGGUUGUAAGCAAGUUGUGUAUUGAAAUAUAAUCAUUCUGUUUUA